rnacentral:misc_RNA from 1 species
GGCUUGUGUGGGUAUGUUGGAUCCCUGCCGCGGCAGCGACAACAUCCUCUUCUUGCCCGUUCAUUGGAUGAUCGAAUCUCGCAAUUCGUCAUCUCGCUCUCGGUUCCCUGUGUUGCAUACCUCCCGCGACGGUAUCUUGUUGCCUAGAAUUGCCCCUUUUCGCCCGACGCCGCGAGUGAGAUCGCGGUCGAAGGCGAACCGAAAAGCACUCGUCGCGUUCCACCCCGUUCGCACCACGUGCUGCGGGACUCGGCCCMCGACGACGUGCUCGAAUUCUCGGAUGCGGAACACGCRGCGGGUACGAGGACGCGGAUCCUCCGUCUACCCCCGAACAAGCGUUCUACGCUACGUGCGAACGACGUUCCUCCUCGUCCUGGGCUUCCGUCCAAACGAGGUCGACGUCGCGGAGGAAUGCUACCUGGUUGAUCCUGCCAGUAGUCAUAU